rnacentral:rRNA from 1 species
UACAGAGACUGCAAGCGUUAUUCGGAUUCACUGGGCGUAAAGAGCUCGUAGGCGGCCAGUUGCGUCUGCUGUGAAAUCCCGGGGCUCAACCCCGGGCGUGCAGUGGAUACGGGCUGGCUAGAGGCAGGCAGGGGAGAACGGAAUUCCCGGUGUAGCGGUGAAAUGCGCAGAUAUCGGGAGGAACGACCGGUGGCGAAGGCGGUUCUCUGGGCCUGACUGACGCUGAGGAGCGAAAGCGUGGGGAGCGAACA